rnacentral:snoRNA from 1 species
CAAGCACUUUUGCAGGUCCUUCCCCAGGCUGUGGGACCAGGAUUUGGUAGCUGGUGCUGAGGAAAAAACCUUUGGUUGCAUCCUUGCCUGGGUCUGUGCCAGUGGCAGCUGUCAAUCAAUGGGGCGAAG